AUUGAACGCUGGCGGCAGGCCUAACACAUGCAAGUCGAACGGAGUGGCGGACGGGUGAGUAAUGUCUGGGAAACUGCCUGAUGGAGGGGGAUAACUACUGGAAAAGGUAGCUAAUACCGCAUACUAUCAGAUGAGCCUAGGUCGGAUUAGCUAGUUGGUGGGGUAAAGGCCUACCAAGGCGACGAUCCGUAACUGGUCUGAGAGGAUGAACAGUCACACUGGAACUGAGAAACGGUCCAGACUCCUACGGGAGGCAGAAGUGGGGAAUGUUGGACAAUGGGCGAAAGCCUGAUCCAGCCAUGCCGCGUGUGUGAAGAAGGUCUUAGGAUUGUAAAGCACUUUAAGUUGGGAGGCGUUACCAACAGAAUAAGCACCGGCUAACUUCGUGCCAGCAGCCGCGGUAAUAC
rnacentral:rRNA from 1 species